rnacentral:rRNA from 1 species
CGGAGAGUUUGAUCCUGGCUCAGGAUGAACGCUGGCGGCGUGCCUAAUACAUGCAAGUCGAACGCUUUGUGGUUCAACUGAUUUGAAGAGCUUGCUCAGAUAUGACGAUGAACAUUGCAAAGAGUGGCGAACGGGUGAGUAACACGUGGGAAACCUACCUCUUAGCAGGGGAUAACAUUUGGAAACAGAUGCUAAUACCGUAUAACAAUAGCAACCGCAUGGUUGCUACUUAAAAGAUGGUUCUGCUAUCACUAAGAGAUGGUCCCGCGGUGCAUUAGUUAGUUGGUGAGGUAAUGGCUCACCAAGACGAUGAUGCAUAGCCGAGUUGAGAGACUGAUCGGCCACAAUGGGACUGAGACACGGCCCAUACUCCUACGGGAGGCAGCAGUAGGGAAUCUUCCACAAUGGGCGAAAGCCUGAUGGAGCAACGCCGCGUGUGUGAUGAAGGGUUUCGGCUCGUAAAACACUGUUGUAAGAGAAGAAUGACAUUGAGAGUAACUGUUCAAUGUGUGACGGUAUCUUACCAGAAAGGAACGGCUAAAUACGUGCCAGCAGCCGCGGUAAUACGUAUGUUCCAAGCGUUAUCCGGAUUUAUUGGGCGUAAAGCGAGCGCAGACGGUUAUUUAAGUCUGAAGUGAAAGCCCUCAGCUCAACUGAGGAAUUGCUUUGGAAACUGGAUGACUUGAGUGCAGUAGAGGAAAGUGGAACUCCAUGUGUAGCGGUGAAAUGCGUAGAUAUAUGGAAGAACACCAGUGGCGAAGGCGGCUUUCUGGACUGUAACUGACGUUGAGGCUCGAAAGUGUGGGUAGCAAACAGGAUUAGAUACCCUGGUAGUCCACACCGUAAACGAUGAGUGCU